UACGUAGGGUGCGAGCGUUGUCCGGAAUUACUGGGCGUAAGCGUGCGCAGCGGUUGUCUAAGACAGGUGUGAAAUCCCCGGGCUUAACCUGGGAACUGCGCUUGUUACUGGCAAGCUUGAGUGUGGCAGAGGGGGGUGGAAUUCCACGUGUAGCAGUGAAAUGCGUAGAGAUGUGGAGGAACACCGAUGGCGAAGGGCAGCCCCCUGGGCUAACACUGACGCCUCAUGCACGAAAGCGUGGGGAGCAAACAGG
rnacentral:rRNA from 1 species